rnacentral:tRNA from 1 species
AGGUAAUUAGUUUAAAUAAAACACUUGAUUUCGGCUCAAGAGCCUGUGGUUAAAGUCCACAAUAACCUG